rnacentral:lncRNA from 1 species
UUAGGGUUGGCCCUGACCUAGUUUGACCAGUGUCCUUAUGAAAACGCAGAAGUUGGACAAAGACACACCCACAGGGAAAGCACCAUGAGAAGAUGACGGCAGAGAUCUGGGCGACGCGUCUACAAGCCAAGCGACACCAAAGGUGGCCAGCAGCCCAUGUGAAGCUGGAGGAGAGGCCUCGAAUAAAUGCUCCCUUACAGCGUUCAGGGGGAACUGACCCUGUCCACACCUUGACCUUGAACUUCUGGGCUCCAGAACUGUGAGACAGCAUGUUCUGUUGUUGAAGGAGCAGCGUGGCUAGAGGAAUUCCUGCAGCUUAGAUUUCGCUGGCACUGUUACCACUCCCAGAGAGGAGCGGCUGGAGUUCACGGCUGGUUCCUGACAAACUUCCUAAUUAAUCUGCUAAAGAUCAGAGGAGGACUAAUAGGAGCUGAAGACUGUGUGCGAGACCACCCCUCCGCCCUCUCCCUUUGUGUGUGCACGUGUGUGUGUGUGUGUGUGUGAGCGCGUGCGCGCAUGUGGUGCUGAGCUUGGCGGGAGAGAGAUGGCCUCACCAGCGACAAAGCAUUCCUGCUGCUGUUGCUGCCACCUACCUUCCCUGCUUUGGGAGGAUACAUUUUCUCCUCUUGCUUAGAAGUUUCAGGGAGUCACCCAAGCCUUCUUCUCCCAGAUACAACGGUGGAAUAAAAUAUCUUCCAGCCAACAUAUUUUUUGGAGACGGAAUCUCACUCUGUCACCUGGUUGAAGUGCAGCAGCGCGAUCAUGGCUCACUGCAACCUCUGCCUCCCGGUUUCAAGUGAUUCUCCUGCCUCCGCCUCCCGAGUAGCUGGGAUUACAGGCAUGUGCCACCCACCACGCCUGGGUAAUUUUUGUAUUUUUACUAGAGACAGGGUUUCACUAUGUGGGCUGGGCUGGUCUCAAACUCCUGACCUCUGGUGAUCUGCCCACUUCGGCCUCUCAAAGUGCUGGGAUUACAGGCAUGAGCCCCCGCACCCGGUUGCAACCAACUUUUUUGUGGAAUAUAGGAUCUUGAUGUUUGGAUGCCUGAAGGCAGAAGCUGUUGCACAUGGAAUGGAUUAAAGUUUUCCCCUCUGCAACCAAAAAUCCUUGGGGUCCCAGGAGCAAAAGAUGCUCCAUGGCACAGGACAAUUCAAGAAGGCCCGAGGUGAUAUUGAAGACUGCAGAGACAUCCAGCUCAGUUGUGUCUCCGGAGGUGUCCAGACUUUGCAGACAGACGUUGCACAUAAAGAGCUGAAAAACUGAGGAAGCUGAGCUGGAGAAGGAAGUCACUUCUACUCAGACUUGACCUGCGUCUGAUGCUAUGGGGCCUCUUAGGGUUACCUCAUGCUUCAUGCACCCCUUUCUCUGUUCUUCAGCAGAAGGCAGGGUGUAGGGAAGCGGGACUGUGCCUCCUUUCUCCCUGCCAGGCCUGACUCUCCAGGCCAAGAGACACCAUUAAGGAGUAUAAUUUGUUGAUCCAGGCUCUCCUUGCGUUUCAGUGCAGAGUGGCAUCGUUUUCUUUAUGACCUCGUAAAGUCACAGCCGAGAGGCCGAUUUGGAAAACAAACUGCCUCAGGUUGACAGAUAAUUAGAUACAGGGGACAUAUUAUAUGCCUUUGCAUAUAAAUGUGCUCCGAGGCGUGUUGGUUCAUCUGAAGUUGAGGUUAAAGGCGCGCCAGGUAUUCCUGACACAUCAGGAUAUAUAUUUUCAUACAGUCUCAGCAGGAUCUUGGCAGUGGACUGCCACGGGAGCUCUGGGGAAAAAGGACCAGUUGGACUCCAGUACCUCCUGAGAGACCACCACCCUCCAUGCCUCCAGCUCAUGCCCAGCUCUGAGUCAGACGGACUCUUCCUGUUGUACUGCGAGGUUCUGCAAACCUUGAAGGGCAAACACAGUGAGGGUCUCUGACUUGCUGUGUGGACAGCCCACUCUCUGACAGCCCAGAUCAUCUGAAGCUAUCCCUGGGCUGGGAGCUGGAAGCCAUUCUUGUGAACCACUCCUUAUACCUUGAGCGAAGCCUCUUUGGGUCCCAGAAGUCUGAAGCUCCAGCUGCCUGGCAAGACUGAGUCUAGAUGAUUUCUUGGGUACCAGUAGUUUGGCAUUUAAAAAUACUGGAUUAACUGCAGUGUAAACUUAGAUUGCAUUUCAGAUUGUAAACAAUAACCCCCGUGCUUCAUGUGAUGUUAAAUCAGAAAUGAGCUAUUAGCCAAGCUAGUCCUCUUAUGAAUGAGCCCCUAACCCUGAUCCAGGGAUCGUUGAAUGAAAAUCAUCAAAAUGAUUUAUCUUCACUUUACCUAUUGUCUCACAAGAAUCUCAUCACUCAGGGAAAAGGAGGGUGUUCUUCAGGGAACGGAGGGCAUGAGGAAGGGGGAUUUCCUUAUAUCUCAACUUUCAGAGGGAGCUGAGUUGUAAACAGAUGGAACAAGGUGUGUACGAGAAGCCUCUUAGAUUUAGUCUUUCAUAUCAAGGCUCUUGCUGAAAAUCCUGGCACAGCUGUGAAAUGAGGGGAGCUCUGACACACAGAGACACGCUCCUUGCCUCACCAACCUUCCCAUACACAGUCAUGCGCACAGAGAGCAGGUACCAAUACUGAAAAUGCCCUUCCGGAGUUUCCUCAGCUUAAACCCUUGACAGCAUUAAGUGAGGAAGGAGUUUCCUUGACCUGGGGAAGAAGAACCAACUCAUAAACAUGGAACUGUG